UGUAGCUCUCACAACCAUAUCUACAACUUCUGGUGAUACCAAACGGACAACGACUGAAGCUCUCACAACCAUAACUACGACUUCUGGUGAUACCCAACGGCCAACUACUGAAGCUCUCACAACCAUUUCUACAACUUCUGGUAACACCCAACGUCCAACGACUGAAG